GUCGAUUUCCGUUGUGGCUUUUGUGAAAGGCUUUGUACGUCCAACACAAAAGUGAAGAUUUUAGGACACAAAACAAAUUGAUAUUACGCAUGCGAGUCCCUGUUUGACAGUCGUUCCUUCAUUCUUCCAAAGCAGUACUAGUGGAUUUGGAGUAGAUGGACGAAUCAUCAGAGUUGGAGGUUCAAACAUCGAACGAUCAGGGUGUGGGAAGCAGUGGUCCAUCUGAUGCUCGCAUGGAAGAGGAGCUUGAUGGACUUCCUGUCUUUGGGACAGAUGACGAUGACUGGGAAAUGGACAGUACCUUCAGUCAGAGGGUGUUCUCUCAGUUAGACAGAAACAGUGAUGACGAGGAUAAAAAUGACAGCCGAGAUGGAGCGCCAACUACUGUUGCAAAUCCAGACGAAAACAGUUCCUCUACUAUUGGAUCAUCAGAAGUGGAUGAAGAAAGAACAAAAGUUUCUGAGGAAAAUCCUCUCACGCCUUCAUCUGACGCCAUUAUAGAUAUCCCGGAAACGCAGUCACAAGUUGAUACUACGACACCGCAAAGCGAUGCCAAUUUACAGAAAGAGCCUCCCGGGCCAGAUAAAGAAACCCAUUUCCCACCUGUAAUACAAAUUAAGGAUGAACCUAUAGAUGAGGAUUAUGAUAAAGCAUUAAUACCCCAGUCUGACACCAGCAAUGUUAAACAGGAGGUUAAUGAGAAUGAGGCGUCCUCUCCAUCAGAUGAGUUGAGGAUAAGCUCUGUGUUCUCUGUUAGUGGAAACAACAGCGACACAGUUUCAGAACAAAAUAGGCGGAACCAACUAACAAAUGACACGUUCCGGGGGGGUCCGUUAGCUCCAGUGGCGACCGUCCAGCAGACAUCAUUCCCGUUGAUGUCCCAGUCUACUUCACUCAGAGGGACUUUAAUUCUGCCAACCCAAGCCCAACCUCAGUUUCAGCUGCGUAUACAGCCAAGACCCCAAAUGCAACCUCAAAUCCGGACGCAGACGGCAAUACUGUCUCAGGCUCCCAUCCAACCCCCUGCCCCCCAGGUCCAUGCUCCCCCGCCAGCAGUGAGGAUCUGCUGUUCCGGCUGCUCUAAAAUCCUACAGAAGGGUCAAACUGCCUUCCAGCGGAAAGGCUCCAACCAGCUGUUUUGCUCCACGGUCUGCCUGACCAGUUUCAGUUUACCCUCCGUUCAGUUUACCCCCAUUAUUGCUCCCAGGAAAACCUGCAACCUCUGCCUUAAGGUAAUCGUAAAUCUGAAGGACCUGAUAACCAUCCCCGUGGGUUCCAUGAAUACACUAAAGGAAUUCUGUAGCCUUGCUUGUCUAAAUAUUUAUAAAGACAGAUAUGAAAAUGCACCUCCGGAUAUAUUCACACAAUGCAACGUGUGUAAGCUGGUCAGAGAGAUUCAGCAUGAAGUUACUCAUCUGGGGGUUGUGCACAAGCUGUGCAGCGAUGAGUGCUUUGCACGCUUCCGAUCCUCUAGAAAUCUCUACAUGAGCUACUGCGAGAACUGUGGCAACUGUAACGCCUCGGGAAACUAUCAUCUUGUUCAGAUAGAGGACGGUAUUAAAAAGUUCUGCACCACUGACUGCAUCACUACUUUCAAACAGAAGAGUGGCAAGAGGCUUUCUUGUCCCUAUUGCCAAGAGUUCAAAAAUUUAGAUCAAAUGAUCGAUGGGACAAACAUACAGGGUGUCACAGAGUUCUUCUGCUCCCAAAGAUGUGUGGCCUUGAGUCAAGCGUCUCCCAGUCUGACAGGGACCUCUUUCCCCUGUACAAGCUGCAAGAAGUUAGCCAUUCCUCAGUAUCACCUCGCCAUCGCUGACGGAUCCAUCAGGAACUUCUGCUCAUUAGAUUGUGUCGGCAAAUUUCAGGACAAGAUGAACACAUCUGUACCUCAUAACCAGAUAAACGGGAACUCGCAUGGCGCUCAAAGCGCACCAUCGGAGCAACCCACAGAGAAACACGCGCCCACCCAGACCUCUUCUUCUAAUUUGUCUGGCCAAAGUCAAAAUUCAGUUCCAUCUCAUGCGCCAGCUCCGGGUCCAGUGAACUCGCAAGAAACCGUGCAGAAAGCAACCAAGUCGAUCCCAAGCGCUUACAAAAAGGAACUUGAGUGCAUGCAGUGCCGUGUUCUGUUCCAAGACAAACCUCAGGUCUUUCAAUGCAAGGGUCUGUCAGGGGCGUUCUGCACUCGAGCCUGUUGUGACGCUUAUAAGAGAGAGCAUAAUGUGACAGCUUUUUGCGAGUAUUGCAAACAGGAAAAGGUGGUCAAAGACGCCAUCACUUAUGAAAAGCAGCUCCGAUAUUUUUGUUGUGAAGGCUGUAAACUGCUUUUUAAGCAUGACCUUACCAAACGGCAAGGAGUUCAGUUCAGGUUUUGCGCAUACUGUCAAAACAUGACACACAAAACCGUACAGAACUUUUUCGGAGGCAAGCUGGAGGAGUUUUGCACAGAAGACUGCAUGUCUCAAUACACAGUGCUCUUUUAUGAGAUGGCCAAAUGUUACAACUGUAAACAGCAGGGCCCGCUGAAGGAAAGCCUUGUCUUAUAUGGAUCCAAAAAACAUUUCUGUAACAUGAAUUGUCUGAGGAAUUUCUGCUCGAGAACCCUGAUGUAUCGUCAGUCUAGGAACAGUACUCUGACUAAUUUGACUACGGUACAAGCUCCGUUAUCCAUUUCCAAGGACAUGCCUGUUAUUGGUGGUGUGGUGUCACUUGCCUCAACGUUACCUGGAAAUACUGCUGUUACAGGAGCUCUCCCUACCUCGAACGCCAACUCCAAAAACAUUGGUGAAGCCAGCACACAGACCGACGCUGCAGUGCCCGGUACUCCACAUCGCAGGACGUUAAAGAAUAAAGCUCUCAUGUGCCGACCCAUCACUGAAGAACAAGGGGUCCAGUGUCAGCGAGAUCCUCCAACAGCUCAACCUCUAUCUGAAACAGUGAUUGAUGAAAAUGGAGAAAAAGUGAGGUUGGUGCCAUUCCCGGUGCCCAUUCCAGUGCCAGUUUACAUUCCCGUUCCAAUGCAUCUGUACACUCAGUACACACCGUUUCCACUGGGCCUUCCUCUACCUGUGCCUGUACCUGUGGUCAUACCUGGAUCCCAAGACGCGGAUGAACCAGGGGAGCGUAAAAGCAGCCUGCCUGCUCAGAGCUCGGUGGAGGACGAUGAGGGCGACAAGGGAAAAGGCAAGCCUUUGUCACAUGACCAGGUCAGCACAUACAGUGGAGAUCUGGAGUCCGAGGCCACAUCAACACCCUUCAGCUGUGCAGAUAAUGAGGAAGCCGCGGUCGGCAGGAAACAAUUGGUCCCAUCAUCAGAAUUAGAGGAUCCGCAAGUAGCGGCAUCGACAGCAUCACCAGAACAUCCGGAUUUGGAAGAUGACUUUCCCCGUGCAUUAGCUGACCCUGGAUUAGCUAAAGAGAGCAGACUGGUAUUGACAUUGAAGCGGCGCAGGAAGGGCAGAGACUGCUGCCCUGCCAAAAAAAGGGCAGUGGAGAUGAUAACAGAGGGGGUAGAGACGACAACAGAAGAGUCGAUGACUCAACUGGACUUAAGGUCUUCUGUCAACUCCCCAGGCAACCGCACCAGUUGUACGAUGCCAUCCUCAUCUCAAGUUCAAUUCUCCUUCGAUGGUGCAGCGGAAGAUUCUUAUGAAUCAGAGUCGAGGCCGGCCCGAUCGAUACGGUUGUUUGCUGUUUCGUGCAGGCUUACCCAAACAGCUCUAUGCAGAGUGGGCGUCGACCACCAACUGUGAUGGGGCAAGGGGCAAACUAGCGUUGCCUGUCAAUUUAAGGCACUUUAUCAUCAAAACCGCUUUGGAGAAGUUCCCCAGCUUAACCAGCAGUGACCGAAAGCGCAUCAAAGACUGAGUCUUGCGUUCUCCAAGAAUUGGUGUUGGACGUGGACGUUUACAGUCUAAUCCAGAGGCGGCGAUGACGACAACAGUGGCUCCUGAGAUGACAACAGAGGCGGUGGAGACGAUAACAGAGCAGACUAAGACUAUAACAGAGGAGACAGGGACAACAACAGAGUUGCUGGAUGCUACAACAGAGGCGUCGGAUGCUACAACUGAGGCGCCAAGGACUCCCCUGGACUGUGAGGACACCGAUGAAAAGCAAAAAACGUCUUCUGACGACCCCCUAGGACAAUAUUUAAUAACACCAAUAUUAUGCCAUCCCGAUUUUGAGAUCACUUCUCCUUCAAAGCAGCAGUUGAAGAGGUUAAUGAUUCAGAGUCCAGGCCGGCCCUAUCGAUACGGUUGCUUGCUGAUUCGUGCUGUCUUACCUGAAAAGCUCUAUGCGGAGUGGGCGUUGACCUCCAACAGGGAUGGGGCAAGGGGCAAAUAUGCAUUGCCUUUGAAUAUGAGACAAUUUAUCAUAGAAAGCGUUUGCCAAUGGUUUCCCAGCUUGACUAGGGUUGAUCAAAAGCAAGUCAAGGACAGAAUCAACGAGUUCUUACGCUCCCCAAAAAAUGGUGUUGGAACUGAAAGUUUGCGUUCUAAUGUAGUAGACAACGUGUAAAUAUUGUGUUGAUUCAACGUUAGGCUGUGCAGUUUUGCAAGCGUGUUGCGUAGGUUGAACAGAGCACCGCCAUAUUGGGGAGGGCAGGAAUGCACUUCAAACAUCUGCACAUACAAGUGAACUGGAGAGCUGCGUUUCUCACCUAUGUUCUGCUGUCAUUAACUGUAUAUAUUUAUAGCACUUUUAUUAUUAAUUGCUGUUAGGAUUGUAAAGAGAUUUUCAUCCACUUCACCAACUAGCAAUUUUAUUAUUUGUUUUCAACUUAAAAAAACUUAAGUUUUUUUUUUGCUUUUACUGCUUGAUCAAAUUCUCUCUUAAAGGAAAAGUUCACCUCAAAAUCAAAAGUGUGUUAUUUUUUUACUCGCCCACAUGACUUUCAACAUGUUUUAAGACCUCCUGAAGUCUUCAGAACACAAAUAAAGAUAUUUUAGGUGACAUCCGAGAGAUAUCCAGCCCUCCUCAUAGACAUCAUGGUUAUAGGUGUUGUCAAGGUCCAGAAAAGUACCAAAGACAACGUUACAUUGGUCCAUCCGCUCAUAACGGCUCAAAUAAUUUUUUGUCAAGCAACAAGAAUAGUUUUUGCGAAAACAAAUCAAAAUAACGGCUUCAAUCGAUAUAUUCUCAAACCGAAUGCGCAUGUGUCAAAGUGCUCUCGAGAACACGCACUAUAAACUGACAAGACAGAGAAGAAUAUCAUUAAAGUCCUUAUUUUGGUUUGUUUUUCACACAUAAAGUAUUCCCUUCGCUUCAAAAAAAGUUCAAUGGGACACGCGCCCUUGGGUGGCAAAAAAUCUAGCAAAAUAGCUGAGAAACAAAGAAACCAGGACUAAAACACGCAAUUAUUUGCUGAAAUUACAAGCAGCUGGACUUGACGGUGAUUCUUACGACUUCCCCACGACGUACAAAGUAAUCCGCUGUUCCUGGACACUGAAAUGUUGAGCAGAAUUGCGUUAAAUGAUAUUGUAAGCAGUCAUUUUGCCGAGUGCUUUGCCACCCAUGGGGGCGCGCUCUGGCGUGAUCACGUGGUGUUCACAUGGUUAAGUUCCCUCUAUACUGGACCUUUAAGGUUUAGCAUUGUUAAUUCCUUUUUUAUUUUCAUUUUGUUAAAUUAGUUUUAUUUUGUGAUAUCCCUUUUUAAAUUGUAUUCAUUUAUAUAUACAAAAUUCUAUUAAAUCUUGAAUGUUGUAUUUAUCUUACAAAAUAACAAAUGUCAUUAAAAUUGUUCAUGUUUUGAAGAUAAAUCUUUUAUUUAUAUAUAUUUAUAUGUUCAAAUUCUCACAAUACCAUCAUAAUAUUGUGCAUUGGGUCAAAUUGUGAGCUGAGUUCGGCAUUACGCCCCUAACUCUUCCUUAAGCUCAGAGGAUGUGUGUAAUAUAGUUCAAUGUAAAUAAUGCAUGUGACUGUAAGAUAUGAUUUUAUAAACACAAUAAAGACAUGGUCUGCUCUACUCUUAACCUAUUCUGAAAGGAUGCUAACUUUGUGUUUCCUGAAACUUUUUUAAGACCUUAAUGAGUAAUGUGCAGUAUAUUGAUAAAUUAACAGAUUUCAUGUUAAUUUAUUUAAAAAUGGAAAUAAUAAUAUCAGAUACAGUUGGCCAGUAUCCACAGACAUAUCAGUGGGACUUAAUAUACGUGUCAGCAUGCUUGUAUCAUCUUUUGAUCUGUUAUUUGUGUCUUGGUGUUAAUCACAGGUGGCAAAGCGUAUGGUUAUUUCAACAACAAAGCAA